rnacentral:rRNA from 1 species
UACAGAGGUGGCAAGCGUUGUUCGGAAUUACUGGGCGUAAAGGGCGCGUAGGCGGCCUUGUCAGUCAGACGUGAAAUCCCCAGGCUUAACCUGGGAACUGCGUCUGAUACUACAAGGCUGGAGUGCGGGAGAGGGAUGUGGAAUUCCAGGUGUAGCGGUGAAAUGCGUAGAUAUCUGGAGGAACACCGGUGGCGAAGGCGGCAUCCUGGACCGGCAUUGACGCUGAGGCGCGAAAGCUAGGGGAGCAAACGGGG